UGUAUUGCAUUAAAUAUUUUUGCAUCUUCAUUUGUGUAAUUGAAUGUGAAAGAUGUCUCCAAUUAGUUACAACAUAGCUUCCUGCAAAUAAAGAACAUUUUUUUUUUUCAUCGGCAAAAACCAAUUGUUUGUAGUUACAUUAGUUUGUACAGUAGUUACUCUCUCCACCCUUUGCAAAAAUCUGGCAUGAUUUCCUCCUUAAUUGAACUUCUUAUAGGGAGAGUUUAACUCAUGACCUCUCCUACGCACUAAACCCUCAAUGGCAGUUAAGCUGACCACCUAGGGGCCUAGUUCGUUGCACAUGUAAUGGAGGUUUUUCGUGACAGAUAGGCAUGUUCAUUCUGGUAGCAUAAACAACUUUUUUAUACCGUUAAACAACUACCUUUGCUAUUAUUUGUUAAUUAUUCAUAGCAUAAACCUUAUCUGUAUAGGUAAUGCAUUUUGUUGUUUUGCUGCACCAUACUUCUCUCACCAUAAUAUUGUAUUUUACAUGUGUUCAUGGUGACUUCACAUAAUUGUCAUGUUGAUUUUUCAUGCUUACAUUUCCCACUUUAACAAUUCAAAUAUACGACUGCAAACGAGACUGACCUUUUUUUAUUUUCGUUCCUCACAUCAGUCUGCUCUUGUCUCUCUCUACAACCAUUUGCAUGAAACUAACAUAAUCUUGGUCUAUGCAAACCUUAGCCCAUUUGCUGGAACUUCUUUUGUUACUUAGGUUUCUUAUUUUUUUAGAAAAAGGAAGUGAACAAAGUUCUGUAUUAGCAAAUAAUAAAGUCAAUUUGGAGAAACAGGUUUUUUGCACCAAAAAAUAUUUGAUUUCAAAGUUAAGCAAAUUUUACUGCAGAGCUUGUAAGAGAGAACAAUUAAUAAACAUUACUGCACACAUUUACAUAUUUCAUUUUAUCAUCAUACAAAUCUCAUUUAAUUGACUCCACGUUGGUCUCACUCUCAGUUACCACAUGACAUUGAAUACCAUACAAACGUCAAACAAUUCAUAAGUCAAGCUAAUGCAGUUUGUUAUUUCUUGUAACUGUUAUACAAAUAACUUACUAGACAUAUGCGUUGAAUGUUCCCUAUCAUUUCAUUAUGCACACCUCAUACAAUGUAACUGCUACGCAUAAUUUACAUGCAUCAAUAUGUGCAACAACUUAUUUGGUGUAGUCAAUAUGUAACACUUUUUAUGUGUCAGCCAACUAGUUACAGUUCUUUGUAUAUGACAUUUAGGCUUCUGUGAAUACAAACAACAGACAUGGCGUCAUUGAUAUCAACUACCACUUCUUCAUGGCCACGAAGGAUGUGUGCAUGUGGUUUUGGACAAUGCCUCGUAAAGAUUUCGAGAUCUAACAAAAACCCAAGUCGUGUAUACUAUGUGUGUCCAGUCCAACAGUGUGUAUCACCCGUCUCUUAUCCAUGUAGUCACCUACUUGGUCAUUUGUGUUUAUAGCGCAACUCUUUCAGUCUAACAAUUACAAUUGUGUCCGGCAGGGAUGUGUUCUGUGGGUUGAUUAGUGUGACGAGUUCCGUAAAGAAAGGGUUACUAAUGACCACCUACCGAUUGAUGUCGAUAUGGGUUAUAUGCGAACGUUGUUCGCAUAGAUCAUAGCCUACGUACCCUUAGGACAGUUGUCGGUGUUUUGUGCGUUGUAGUUAUUAUCUUGUUGUUUCGUAUGUGAUGCAUUUACAUAUCCACAUUUAUGUAUGUGAAUUUCGUUGCCCAUACCACUAUGAUGCAGCAUUUUUUCAUGUUCUGACUAGGGUAAUGUAUUGAAACUUUUUUAUUGCUCCAACGCACCAUGAACUUGCAUUUAAUGUACAUGUACUGUACUUUACAAUACAACGUCGUUCCUGUUAACUCCAUACAAAUUGUUUUGCUGGUACUGCAUUUUCUUUAUUGCAUUUGUUUUUUCAAUCAUGUUACAUCCAUACGUACGUAUGUACUCUAUUUCUGUUUCGUACUUGGUCUUUAAACUAUGACUAUGAAAUAGUGCAACUGAGAUGGCUUCCACCCGUACUUCAUCUCAUACUCCUUCAAGAACUUGACGUAAGGGUAUAACAUCAAGCCAACAAGAACCAGUACACAAAUGCACCUAGGAUAGCGACAACACAAAGCUUUAUCUGCAACUGGUCAUCGCCGAGAUAGGGGACAGUAACUGUCAACUUUGCUCGUUAUCAAUGAGUGGUUAUAAGAACCUAGUGAAGAAGUUUUUGGACAAAAUCGGCCUGUUACAUUGCGAAAACAAAUGAAAAACAAAUAUGACAACUUGAAGAAUUAGACUACAUGGAAGAAACUACAGGAUGCUAGCCAAGGCUUCACAACGAUUGGGUAUGACCAUGCCACGGGCUUGUUCACAGCACCUGACCAUUGGUGGGCCAAAAUGCAAGCGAUAAACCACUGAUUUGCCAAGUUCAAGACAAAGCCAUUAGAGCACUUGGAUCUGAUGGAAAGGCUGUUCCCAGGCGCUGCUGCAAUGGGAAAACAUACAUGGAUGCCAACUGAAAUAUGUGAGGACAAUGCAACCGCAGACAAUGUUGCAACCCCUGACAGUGACAUGGGCCCUCUCAGUGAUGCUCACCACCACAUGAUGUGCCAGAUCAGGGUCGGCGAAAAUGUGGUGGACUGUUCUUUGUUUGAUGAUGCACCCCCACAGUCAACCGCAAACGGAUCAGCCAAUGCCAAAUGUCGAAAGCCGACAGCCCCUGGUACUGUGGCAAGCAACAUGGACAACCUCAUAUAGGUAGUUAGUAGACAAAGCAAGGAACUGAAAAUAAUGCAGUACAUUGUAAUAUGAAAUGACGAAAAUACUAUUGGGGACUGUCUUGAGAGCCUAAUGAACACACCUAGACUACAGCACGGUGGUCUGUUAUUCUCAUUUUCUUGUACGCUUAUGGAUUCACCCGAUAACUGCGACCUAACUAUGGGCUUCCCCAUGGAUUACAUUGCGAAUUGCCCCAAAGAUAAGUGUGCAUACAUGUAGCAACCUGUUGUCAUGAAUCGUGGUCGUGGCAUGCAUUUGUUUAGACAUGAUGGUGUGGUUGACAUGGACUAACACACGGGACAGCUACAACUGCAAUCAACCACCUGUUUCGGUUCCCAUUUUUCGUUACACUUUGCUUGUGUUUUAAUGUGGAUGUUCUGCUUUCUUUGAUUAUGUACUGUUUUCCCUAUGUUGUUGCUACAAACUUUGACGAGACAGUUUCUUUUCUUUUUAUAUGUUUUUCGAACACAGCAAACUUAGACUUCACUUGUUGUGGGGCUCUUAUUUUUAAUUAAUGUUCGAUGUGUGUGCAUGUCUUGUAUAUAUUGACUGAAGAUUUUUUUA